rnacentral:rRNA from 1 species
UACGUAGGGUGCGAGCGUUGUCCGGAAUUACUGGGCGUAAAGAGCUCGUAGGUGGUUUGUCGCGUUGUUCGUGAAAACUCACAGCUUAACUGUGGGCGUGCGGGCGAUACGGGCAGACUGGAGUACUGCAGGGGAGACUGGAAGUUCCUGGUGUAGCGGUGGAAUGCGCAGAGUAUCAGGAGGAACACCGGUGGCGAAGGCGGGUCUCUGGGCAGCUGAACUGACGCUGAGGAGCGAAAGCGUGGGGAGCGAACAGG